CCCCUAGAUGUUCUGGGCCGCACGCGUGUUACACUGAUGCGUUCAUCAAGCACCACACCUUGGCUCGAGAGGCCUGGGUAAUCUUGAAAUCGCAUCGUGCUGGGGAUAGAUUAUUGUAAUUUUUAAUCUUCAACGAGGAAUUUCUAGUAGGCGUUUGUCAUCAACAAGCACCGAUUACGUCCCUGUCCUUUGUACACACCGCCCGUCGCUACUACCGAUUGGAUCAUUUGGUGAGGCCCGCGGACUGUUGUGCUUUCUUCCUCGUGUUGAUUGCACUUCUUGGGAAGCGGUACGAACCUGAUGAUCUAGAGGAAGUAAAAGUCGUAACA
rnacentral:rRNA from 1 species